AAAAAAAAAAAAAAUUAUUCCUCUGUGAGAUAUCCAGCAUGAAAUUAAAGGUAAUAUGAACCAUUGCGCCUGCAACUUAAAACACUUUUCCCCCAAGUUUGCAUGGCACAUAGUCUCUUCAACCAAGGGAGAGGAUGGUGGUAGUGCUUGCAGAAAAAAGCAACGAUCUCUAAAUACACCCAGCUGGAACAUCAUGUACCCGCAUACGAAGCCACGAAGAAGAUGCUCAGCAAGUUUGUUAUAAGCUUAGCCUUGAGGAACAUCUCUGUAAUGAGUCAUACAGAAAGCAUGAUACAGUGGUCAAAGUUUCUGAAGAAUGUAUGGUUUUUAGAGUUCACACUUAUUCUGCUACAUUAUAUGCACCAAAAGGAUGAGUCAGAAUCAGUGAUCUA